CGGAGCGUAGCGCAGUUGGCUAGCGCACUUGUAUGGGGUACAAGAGGUCGCAGGUUCAAGCCCUGCCGCUCCGA
rnacentral:tRNA from 8 species